UACGUAGGGGGCAAGCGUUGUCCGGAAUCAUUGGGCGUAAAGAGCGUGUAGGCGGCCAGAUAAGUCCGCUGUGAAAACUCGAGGCUCAACCUCGAGACGCCGAUGGAAACCAUCUGGCUAGAGUCCGGAAGAGGAGAGUGGAAUUCCUGGUGUAGCGGUGAAAUGCGCAGAUAUCAGGAAGAACACCCGUGGCGAAGGCGGCUCUCUGGUACGUGACUGACGCUGAGACGCGAAAGCGUGGGGAGCAAACAGG
rnacentral:rRNA from 1 species